GACGAACGCUGGCGGCGUGCUUAACACAUGCAAGUCGAGCGGUAAGGCCCUUUCGGGGGUACGACGAGCGGCGAACGGGUGAGUAACACGUGGGUGACCUGCCCUCAGCUCUGGGAUAAGCCUGGGAAACCGGGUCUAAUACCGGAUAUGACUCCAUGACGCAUGUUGUGGGGUGGAAAGCCUUGUGCGGCUGAGGAUGGGCCCGCGGCCUAUCAGCUUGUUGGUGGGGUGANGGCCUACCAAGGCGACGACGGGUAGCCGGCCUGAGAGGGCGACCGGCCACACUGGGACUGAGACACGGCCCAGACUCCUACGGGAGGCAGCAGUGGGGAAUCUUGCGCAAUGGGCGAAAGCCUGACGCAGCGACGCCGCGUGAGGGAUGACGGCCUCGGUGUAAC
rnacentral:rRNA from 1 species